rnacentral:siRNA from 1 species
AUGGGAUAUGUUGUAGACGAUGC